rnacentral:rRNA from 1 species
GAUGAACGCUGGCGGCGUGCCUAAUACAUGCAAGUCGAGCGAACAGACGAGGAGCUUGCUCCUCUGGCGUUAGCGGCGGACGGGUGAGUAACACGUGGAUAACCUACCUAUAAGACUGGGAUAACUUCGGGAAACCGGAGCUAAUACCGGAUAAUAUAUUGAACCGCAUGGUUCAAUAGUGAAAGACGGUUUUGCUGUCACUUAUAGAUGGAUCCGCGCCGCAUUAGCUAGUUGGUAAGGUAACGGCUUACCAAGGCAACGAUGCGUAGCCGACCUGAGAGGGUGAUCGGCCACACUGGAACUGAGACACGGUCCAGACUCCUACGGGAGGCAGCAGUAGGGAAUCUUCCGCAAUGGGCGAAAGCCUGACGGAGCAACGCCGCGUGAGUGAUGAAGGUCUUCGGAUCGUAAAACUCUGUUAUUAGGGAAGAACAAAUGUGUAAGUAACUAUGCACGUCUUGACGGUACCUAAUCAGAAAGCCACGGCUAACUACGCG